rnacentral:rRNA from 1 species
GAUGAACGCUAGCGGCAGGCUUAACACAUGCAAGUCGAGGGGUAUUGGUUUUCGGACCAAGAGACCGGCGCACGGGUGCGUAACGCGUAUGCAAUCUACCUUUUGCAGAGGGAUAGCCCAGAGAAAUUUGGAUUAAUACCUCAUAGUAUAGUACUUUGGCAUCAAGGAACUAUUAAAGUCACAACGGCAAAAGAUGAGCAUGCGUCCCAUUAGCUAGUUGGUAAGGUAACGGCUUACCAAGGCUACGAUGGGUAGGGGUCCUGAGAGGGAGAUCCCCCACACUGGUACUGAGACACGGACCAGACUCCUACGGGAGGCAGCAGUGAGGAAUAUUGGACGAAUAGGGCGCAAGCCUGAUCCAGCCAUGCCGCGUGCAGG